CAGAGUUGCAAAACUCCCACAAACCAUCGCGAAUCUUACCCGUACGGUUGCCUCGGCGCUGGCGGUCCGGAAGGCCCUCGGGCCCCCCGGAUCCUCGGGUCUCCCGCUCGCGGGAGGCUGCCCGCCGGAGUGCCGAAACCAAACUCUUGAUAUUUUAUGUCUCUCUGAGUAAACUUUUUAAAUAAGUCA
rnacentral:misc_RNA from 1 species